rnacentral:rRNA from 1 species
UCGAGCGGAAGGCCCUUCGGGGUACUCGAGCGGCGAACGGGUGAGUAACACGUGAGCAACCUGCCCCAGGCUUUGGGAUAACCCCGGGAAACCGGGGCUAAUACCGAAUAUGACCUUCUGCCGCAUGGUGGAGGGUGGAAAGUUCUUCGGCUUGGGAUGGGCUCGCGGCCUAUCAGCUUGUUGGUGGGGUGAUGGCCUACCAAGGCGACGACGGGUAGCCGGCCUGAGAGGGCGACCGGCCACACUGGGACUGAGACACGGCCCAGACUCCUACGGGAGGCAGCAGUGGGGAAUAUUGCACAAUGGGCGGAAGCCUGAUGCAGCGACGCCGCGUGAGGGAUGACGGCCUUCGGGUUGUAAACCUCUUUCAGCAGGGACGAAGCGCAAGUGACGGUACCUGCAGAAGAAGCGCCGGCCAACUACGUGCCAGCAGCCGCGGUAAGACGUAGGGCGCGAGCGUUGUCCGGAUUUAUUGGGCGUAAAGAGCUCGUAGGCGGCUUGUCGCGUCGACUGUGAAAACCCGCAGCUCAACUGCGGGCCUGCAGUCGAUACGGGCAGGCUAGAGUUCGGUAGGGGAGACUGGAAUUCCUGGUGUAGCGGUGAAAUGCGCAGAUAUCAGGAGGAACACCGGUGGCGAAGGCGGGUCUCUGGGCCGAUACUGACGCUGAGG